UACAGAGGGUGCAAGCGUUGCUCGGAAUUAUUGGGCGUAAAGGGUAGGUAGGUGGUCUCAUUUGUCUGGGGUGAAAUCCUUGGGCUUAACUCAAGAAGUGCCCCAGAAACGGUGAGACUGGAGUCCUGGAGAGGGUCGUGGAAUUCCCGGUGUAGCGGUGAAAUGCGUAGAGAUCGGGAGGAACACCAGAGGCGAAGGCGGCGACCUGGACAGGUACUGACACUCAACUACGAAAGCGUGGGGAGCAAACAGG
rnacentral:rRNA from 1 species